GGGCCUUAGGCCCAACUAGAUCCGACCUUCCAACCGAUGCAACCUAGUCUAAAACGCGUACACAUUCAAAACUCAGAGGCGCAACCUCAAGGUGUAGCUUCAAACAAUGGAUUCCAUGGCUUCGUAUCUUCUCUCUCAAAGGUAGGUUUGAAACAAAAAUGACGACGUAAAUGGCCUCAACAUCAGUUUCCAUCUCUGAACUUCUAUCAUCAUCCAAACGUAGCUCAUGUUGUGUGCAAAGAUAGGACGAACAGGAUCAAAAUUGUCUCGUGUUUGAAUCAAAAAUUAUGUGCAGAGUUGAAGAGGAACAUAAAGCGAAUCGGAGAUAGAAUACUAACUGAACUGGAGAUGUGACGCACACAGGUGUUUUAAGGAAGAGAAAAGCUUGGUCUUCUUGAAGAUUGCAUGAAGCAAGGAAAACAUGAAGGUGUGAAUGUCUUGGAGCUUAGUCUAGUAUAUUAGGACUUGUUUGAAUUAAGUCUCCGUAGUUGGAUUUUUGUGAAUUUUGAUAUGGAUUUGUAUUGGUAGGAACAUGUAUUUAUGCUUUAAAGUUUAGUACAUGUGAGAAAUGGUUUUGAAUUAUUUAUGAUGUAAUGAGGUAUAACUUAAAUUUUAUUCAUGGAAUUCAAUUUGUAAAUUGAAGCCAAGAUUUUAAAGUGAAUUGAAUGGUAUUGGGAUGUAAAGGAUUGGUUUGUAAAUGAUAUGAAUGACUUUAUAGCAUGACAUUUGUAUAUGCAUGGAAAUAUCAUGGACUUGAAAUUUUAUGGAAUGCA